UACGUAGGGCGCAAGCGUUGUCCGGAAUUAUUGGGCGUAAAGAGCUCGUAGGCGGUCUGUCACGUCUGCCGUGAAAACCCGAGGCUUAACCUCGUGGCUUGCGGUGGAUACGGGCAGACUAGAGGUAGGUAGGGGAGAACGGAAUUCCCGGUGUAGCGGUGAAAUGCGCAGAUAUCGGGAGGAACACCGGUGGCGAAGGCGGUUCUCUGGGCCUUACCUGACGCUGAGGAGCGAAAGCAUGGGGAGCGAACAGGAUUAGAUACCCUGGUAGUCCAUGCCGUAAACGUUGGGCGCUAGGUGUGGGGUCCUUCCACGGAUUCCGUGCCGUAGCUAACGCAUUAAGCGCCCCGCCUGGGGAGUACGGCCGCAAGGCUAAA
rnacentral:rRNA from 1 species